AUUAUGCUACCUUUGCACAGUUAGAAUACUGCGGCCAUUUAAAAAUUUUCAGUGGGCAGGUUAGACUUUAAAUUUAUUUCAAAAAGACAUGUUUUUGUUAAACAGGCGAAUAUUAUUUUUGCCGAAUUCUUUACUUAAACUUAUCAUUUAAAUUUAUUUUACAAUAAAAUAUACUAAUUCUAUCAUUAUUACUUAAUUUUAAAAAUUAAAAUUAAUAUUUCAAUAAAAAUUUAAAAUAUAAUAAAUAAUUUAAUUUAUAAAAUAAAUUAUAACAUAAUUUUAAAUAAUUGCUAAUUCUAAGCAUAUAUUUUUUAAAUUUAUUUAUUAAUUAUAAAAAUUUAUUUUAUAGCUUAUCCCAUAAAAUAUUAAAAUUAUAAAUUAUUUAAUUAAAAAAUUUUUUAAAUAAAUUUAUAACUUCUAAAUUAAAUUUAUUUCUUGAAAAACUAGAUACCUUUAAAAACGAAUAACAUUUCAUUUCUAAUAUAAUAUUUAAAAUAAUUUUAUUACAUUAACUUUUAUACUAUUAACUCUUUUAAAAUCGGGAAAAAUAUAUUUAAAUAUUUUUUAUUUAAUAAACGCUGAUACACAAGGUACGAUAAAUUAAAUCUUCUUUUAAAAUAAAAAUUUUUCCAAAUAUUUCAAUUUUCUUUUACAAUACUACUAAACUAUUAUUAAAAUUAUUUUUUCUUUAAACAAUACUAAAACUUUUUCUUAUAUAAUUAUUUUUAAUAUUUUUACUCAAAAUUAAUAAAAUUAAUAAAUAAAAUCUAA
rnacentral:rRNA from 1 species